AAUAUUGCACAAUGGGCGCAAGCCUGAUGCAGCCAUGCCGCGUGUAUGAAGUAAGGCCUUCGGGUUGUAAAGUACUUUCAGCAGUGAGGAAGGUGGAUAUGUUAAUAGCAUAUUCAUUUGACGUUAGCUGCAGAAGAAGCACCGGCUAACUCCGUGCCAGCAGCCGCGGUAAUACGGAGGGUGCGAGCGUUAAUCGGAAUUACUGGGCGUAAAGCGCAUGCAGGUGGUUUGUUAAGUCAGAUGUGAAAGCCCGGGGCUCAACCUCGGAAUUGCAUUUGAAACUGGCAAACUAGAGUACUGUAGAGGGGGUAGAAUUUCAGGUGUAGCGGUGAAAUGCGUAGAGAUCUGAAGGAAUACCGGUGGCGAAGGCGGCCCCCUGGACAGAUACUGACACUCAGAUGCGAAAGCGUGGGGAGCAAACAGGAUUAGAUACCCUGGUAG
rnacentral:rRNA from 1 species